rnacentral:antisense_RNA from 1 species
UGUGGGAGCUGGCUUGCCAGCGAUGGCGUCGGCACAUUCAAUAUUCGUGUCGGCUGGUCUACCGCUAUCGCUGGCAAGCCAGCUCCCACA